rnacentral:lncRNA from 1 species
AUGAAUACCAGGUGUUCAGGAACACACGCAGAUAGAGUGCAGAAGUACUCUUGUGAAAUAAGCAGCCAGGUCAGCAGCUGCGAGCGAGGACAGGAGAGAGAGAGCAGGGAAAUAACAGGAUCAGUUCCUCUUCAGGGCUCCGAAGCUCUCUCCCCUUCCAGUCGGCAAGUCUCCACAAGCCUGCUGCUGAGUCAGACCCUCCUCUACCCGCUGAGAAAUCCUUCUCCCUGAAAAUCACUAAAGCUGCGGAAACCUUCGGGGCCUCCCGGGGCGGAGGGGCCGGGCCGCCCGUGACAGC